AUGCGGGCAGGCCCCUAAACAUGGGCAAGUUCGAGCGGUAGCACAAGAGGAGCUUGCUCUCGGGUGACGAGCGGCGGAGGGUGAGUAAUGUCUGGGAAACUGCCUGAUGGAGGGGGAUAACUACUGGAAACGGUAGCUAAUACCGCAUAACGUCGCAAGACCAAAGUGGGGGACCUUCGGGCCUCAUGCCAUCAGAUGUGCCCAGAUGGGAUUAGCUAGUAGGUGGGGUAAUGGCUCACCUAGGCGACGAUCCCUAGCUGGUCUGAGAGGAUGACCAGCCACACUGGAACUGAGACACGGUCCAGACUCCUACGGGAGGCAGCAGUGGGGAAUAUUGCACAAUGGGCGCAAGCCUGAUGCAGCCAUGCCGCGUGUGUGAAGAAGGCCUUCGGGUUGUAAAGCACUUUCAGCGGGGAGGAAGGCGUUAAGGUUAAUAACCUUGUCGAUUGACGUUACCCGCAGAAGAAGCACCGGCUAACUCCGUGCCAGCAGCCGCGGUAAUACGGAGGGUGCAAGCGUUAAUCGGAAUUACUGGGCGUAAAGCGCACGCAGGCGGUCUGUCAAGUCGGAUGUGAAAUCCCCGGGCUCAACCUGGGAACUGCAUUCGAAACUGGCAGGCUAGAGUCUUGUAGAGGGGGGUAGAAUUCCAGGUGUAGCGGUGAAAAUGCGUAGAGAUCUGGGAGGAAUA
rnacentral:rRNA from 1 species